ACUGGCGAGUGGCGAGUGGCGACUGCGACUUCUCUCCACUUCCACUCAACUUCAUCUCAUUCUCAAAUUAUUAAGACUGAAGAGGAAGACUCAGGCCGGUAAUAAGAGGAUUCCACUGUUCAACUUUGUUCGAGUACCAUAAACACUGCAAGCAAGACAUUAA